rnacentral:rRNA from 1 species
CCAGCAGCCGCGGUAAUUCCAGCUCCAAUAGCGUAUAUUUAAGUUGUUGCAGUUAAAAAGCUCGUAGUUGGAUUUCGGGUGGGAUGGUGCGGUCCGCCUCUGGUGUGCACUGCUCCGUUCCACCUUCCUGCCGGGGACGGGCUCCUGGGCUUAACUGUUCGGGACUCGGAGUCGGCGAGGUUACUUUGAGUAAAUUAGAGUGUUCAAAGCAGGCUUACGCUCUGAAUACAUUAGCAUGGAAUAACACGAUAGGACUCUGGCCUAUCUGUUGGUCUGUGGGACCGGAGUAAUGAUUAAGAGGGACAGUCGGGGGCAUUCGUAUUCCAUUGUCAGAGGUGAAAUUCUUGGAUUUAUGGAAGACGA